AGGAGUAGCCACAUACUUUUCCCAGAUUCAAACUGAGGAGAAUUAGACUCCCUUCAAGAUAGAGGAGUGGUGAGAUCACAUAAUAAGAGCAGGAAAGAUGGAGAUAUUGUUGCAGCCAUUUUGGAAAAUGCAAUAUCUCCCUUUAUGUGGAGGUAACAGCCAGAGGCAACUAUGGGUAGAAGGCCAGAUGCUUUUAGGUCCAGGCUGUUUUUGGUUCCAAGAGACUACUGGUGAACUGUAGAAUAGUACAUCAUUUGCUUUAUGGCUGAAGGUCAUCGAGAAGAUAACUGAGGAAUUCAUUGGCAAGUUGUGGGUGUUGCUUUUUACAGUAUUUUAUUGUGAAAUAUAGGCCACAGUCUCCAUGACCAUAGGGACACAGUCUUGUUCACAACUCUAUCUCCAGGAAGGAGGAGCAUGCCCGGUUCAUAGCAGACGGUCCAUCAAUGUUUUUGAGUGAAGAAUCUGGUGCAGUUUUUAGAGCUGAGGGUCAAAGUCAGAGACAGAUUAGAGGCCAGAGUGAUUGGGUCCAGGACCUAGAUGGCUGGGCAAGAUUGGCAUCCAGAAAUUUGAAUACUUAGCAGACAGUGCUGCGACCAGAGAGUGAAAGCCGGGAGCCCACCAGCAUCACAUGAUUGUUGCUUCACUAGGCAGGAAGCUGCUUGCUCAUCACCUGAUUCAAAGUUUCUUUCUCCGCUUCUCAUCCCUGGGGGCUACAAACCUUCAUAUAUCCAACUGUCAAUUUCACUUCCUAGCAGCUUCAGUACAAUUGGGAGCCAGAGCGCUACUUUUUAGAAGGGGAGGAUGACCAAGUAAGAAACAGUUCACCAGUGGGUGAGGCAAUGGGUGAAUUGCACGGUUUCUGCUUUUGAAGUUGAAUGAACUCUUAUGAGGGAGGCAUACACAAAGGAAACAAAAUUUUACUGACUUGCCUUUCAUAAAAAGGAGCAUUUUGGAGGAUAUUUAAUUCCAGACCUAGAUUUGGGAUUACUAGAAGCUGUUAGGUUUAACAUCUUUAUGAUGAUGUGGAUGUCAGACUGGAUUUAAAUGGCACACUUACAUGAGCCUCAGCAUCUCUCCCGGAGCUAUAUUCAUCAUCCCCAGGGAGCCCGAGAUGCACAUCUGCUUCACCUACCAAAAAAUUAUCAGAUGUCCAAAUUCUUCAGCAACUAGCACUUAGAUCUUUUACACUCUCUGGUACUAACAGGCAUUGAGCCCAGAGCCCUCCAAGGUAACGGUUGAUAGUACAUGGUCUUCCAGAGAAAACGUGGCCUUAAUUCCAAAGACUGAGUUAAAUAGUGGCAUUUCUGGUAUUCUCCAGGCUGUGGAGAGAUCUUUGACAAUAGAAUAAUUUUCUGGAAUAAGGGACAUUCAAUGCCCCUGACCCAUCAAGUUGCAUCAGCAUCUUCCAGCUUCUCCAGGGCCUUGAGCCACUGAAGGGCUGUCCUCCCUUCAUGGUUCUCUGCCUUUUGUCCUCGGCUGACAUCCUCCAUCAGUGACAAUGCUUCCAAGAGGCAGGGAUUUUACCCACAGGGAAUGAACUGGAGGUCCACAUCCUUCUAGAGUGUGCAGGUCAGAAACCCCUGGGGAAGCACGUUGAACCUCUCCUCCCAAUUAGGGUGAUUCUGAUUCCCCCUUGUUUCAUAAUCCCCACAGGGCCUAGGGCUGUAGAGUGCAGAAUAGCACAGACUGCUAAAUCAGCCACGUGUCUUAGAGCUGUUUCUCCAUCCAACUUGGACAGAAGUCUCUCAGACAGAUGAUGUCAGUGCAACUGGAGGGGAGACGUUAAAAAUCUGUGCUCUCUCUGGCUGCGAAAACCUUUCCCGGAAUGCUCAGGACCUGAUGGUGGGAUUGUAGACCGGGGUAGUCAUUCUGGAGAGUAAUUUGGCAGUACAUGGUGAAAUGAAGUGUGUCUACGCCCUGUGACCCAACCACCCCUUUCUAGAGCCUACACCCCAGACAAACCCAGGCAUGGACUCAUAAAGGGAUGUGUAUGAGGGUGUUCAUUGCAGCACUGGGUGUGGGAAUGAAAACGAUGAUACUGAUGCUGAUGGCUAACACUUGCUGGGUGCUUAUGUGUGCUAAACACUUUACAUCUUCUCAAUACUCUUAGUAUCUCCAUUUUAGAAACGAGAAAACUGAGGUGUGGGAGGUGGAGUAAACGGGCUAAAUUCACACAGCUGGUGAAUAGGGUGUGAUGCCAGGCAGCCUGCUUCCUGAGGAUGAAGUCCUGACCAUUACGCUUGAUGAUCUACCUCUGUGUCCACCACUGGGGAAUGGGUAGGUAAAUAUGGAACGAUGUGCAUCAAGCCCUGGACAACUCUGAAAGCAUAAUGCUGAGUGAAAAAGGAAGAGAAAGCAUGAGCUCUAUAGUUCCUACCACAUAUCUAUCUAUCUAUUUAUCUGUCCGUCUAUCUAUCUAUCUAUCUAUCUAUCUAUCUAUCUAUCUAUCUAUUGAGAGAGAGAGAGAGAAAGAGAGAAUAGACAGAGUAAUGCAACAUCAUACAAUUUCAAAUGUAUUACUAUAUACACACCCCCAAGAACAUUUAGUGAGCACCUAUUGCGGAGAGGGUGGGGGCAAGCAGAAGUCAGGGAUGACUCAUAUAAAUAAAAAUAGAGCAAACAAAACAAGAAAGAGCCUUGCCCAGAAUGAUGAUGACUGGGCACCAUGAAUUAAUGAUGUGCUUAAUUCUGCUCUCUCCUCCUGAGGUUCACAUCCUGCACCCCACAAUAAUUUUUUUAUGAAACUAGAGUUAAAGCUUCAUUUCUACUUCAGGGAGGAUCAGAGAAGGCACAUUCGUUCUCUUUCUCUUCAGGACUCCAUUCAGUGAGCAGCAGAGUCCUGCAAUAUGUGUACAUUCUACCUAGUGUUUUAUUCCACCCCGUGAUAUAAGCUCAUUUCCUCCCAUUUCACAGAUGCGGAGAGAAGCAGGUCAGAGAGGAAGCAACCUUGCAAAUUAUCAGCUGAUCUUGCACUUGACUCAGGUCCUGGCACAGAGGUUUAGCCCUGUGGUUUACAGAACACCUCUAACAAUGGUCCUGGCAACCACUGGUUUUAU